rnacentral:lncRNA from 1 species
UUAGCAACAAAGUGCUAUUUGGAGCACUUUGGAGCAUUUUUGGGCCAAGAUUGGAUAGUGCAAGCAUGGAGACAUGAGGAUGGACGUUUUUGAAGAUUAGAAGGCUAGAAAUCAGCAUGUGUGUGUGCAAGUGUGUUGACCUACAACUACAAACACUCAUCCACUACACCCAUUACAUCCACUCAUUACCAAACACUCAUCCA